UUCCGGUUGAUCCUGCCGGAGGUUACUGCUAUCGGUGUUCGACUAAGCCAUGCGAGUCAAAUGUUCUUCGUGAACAUGGCGGACUGCUCAGUAACACGUGGAUAACCUGCCCUUAGGUUCGGCAUAACUCCGGGAAACUGGAGAUAAUUCCGAAUAGGUCAAAUAUGCUGGAAUGCUUUUUGGCCAAAAGAUCUCGGUUGCCUAAGGAUGGAUCUGCGGUCUAUCAGGUUGUAGUGGGUGUAACGUACCUACUAGCCUACGACGGAUAUGGGUUGUGAGAGCAAGAGCCCAGAGAUGGAUUCUGAGACAUGAAUCCAGGCCCUACGGGGCGCAGCAGGCGCAAAAACUUUACAAUGCGGGAAACCGCGAUAAGGGGACACCGAGUG
rnacentral:rRNA from 1 species